rnacentral:rRNA from 1 species
AACGAACGCUGGCGGCAGGCCUAACACAUGCAAGUCGAGCGAGCAUUUCGGUGCUAGCGGCGGACGGGUGAGUAACGCGUGGGAACGUGCCCUUUUCUGCGGAAUAGUCCUGGGAAACUGGGGGUAAUACCGCAUACGCCCUUUUGGGGAAAGAUUUAUCGGAGAAGGAUCGGCCCGCGUUGGAUUAGGUAGUUGGUGGGGUAAUGGCCCACCAAGCCGACGAUCCAUAGCUGGUUUGAGAGGAUGAUCAGCCACACUGGGACUGAGACACGGCCCAGACUCCUACGGGAGGCAGCAGUGGGGAAUCUUAGACAAUGGGGGCAACACUGAUCUAGCCAUGCCGCGUGAGUGAUGAAGGCCUUAGGGUUGUAAAGCUCUUUCAGCUGGGAAGAUAAUGACGGUACCAGCAGAAGAAGCCCCGGCUAACUCCGU